rnacentral:rRNA from 1 species
AGAGUUUGAUCAUGGCUCAGAACGAACGCUGGCGGCAUGCCUAACACAUGCAAGUCGAACGAGACCCUCGGGUUCGCCUGGUGGUCUAGUGGCGCACGGGUGAGUAGCGCGUGGGAACCUGCCCUGUUGUGGGGGAUAACCGGGGGAAACUCCGGCUAAUACCGCAUGCGCCCCGGGGUAACUCGGGGGAAAGAUUUAUCGCAGCAGGAGGGGCCCGCGUCGGAUUAGCUAGUUGGUGGGGUAACGGCCCACCAAGGCGAUGAUCCGUAGCUGGUCUGAGAGGAUGAUCAGCCACACUGGGACUGAGACACGGCCCAGACUCCUACGGGAGGCAGCAGUGGGGAAUAUUGGACAAUGGGGGCAACCCUGAUCCAGCAAUGCCGCGUGAGUGAGGAAGGCCUUAGGGUUGUAAAGCUCUUUCGCGCGCGACGAUGAUGACGGUAGCGCGAGAAGAAGCCCCGGCUAACUUCGUGCCAGCAGCCGCGGUAAUACGAAGGGGGCGAGCGUUGUUCGGAUUUACUGGGCGUAAAGGGCGCGUAGGCGGCCAUCUUUGUCAGGCGUGAAAGCCCCGGGCUCAACCUGGGAAUGGCGUCUGGGACGGGGUGGCUAGAGAUCGGGAGAGGAGCGUGGAAUUCCCAGUGUAGAGGUAAAAUUCGUAGAUAUUGGGAAGAACACCGGUGGCGAAGGCGGCGCUCUGGACCGAGACUGACGCUGAGGCGCGAAAGCGUGGGGAGCAAACAGGAUUAGAUACCCCGGUAGUCC